GGGGCGUCGGUAGCCACGGUAACAGGUUGCUCCGGCUGUCCGAGCUGAGCGCCUUUCGCACUACUUGGAGUUACUGUUUAUCUGAUACCCCGGCACCCCUACGCAAGCAAGCCCACAUCUACACACAUUCACAUACGCCCUUCAGCACCUCCUCCCAGCACCACGACCAUGGACGACGACUAUGAAGCGUACCACAGUCUGUUCUUGUCGCUGCUGGGACUCUGCCCAUCUAAGACUUCCAUCAAUGAAAAUGCCGCCGUCUUUGAUCCUGAACUGGUCAUUGCCCACUGCUUCAAGCAGUUCAAGCAGAAGGACUUCUGCCUGCCUCAGACCCGCCGGCGAAUCAUCAUGGUGCCUCGCAAGGAAGAUCAGACGCCCAUUAAUCCUGCAUCCCAACCUCAGGCUCCCCCAAAGCCCAUCCCCAGCUUCAAAGCUCUGGAAGCUAAAGAUAUCCAAGAGCAGCCAGAGGACAGGAAGACCUGGCUGAGCCGGAGGGCGAAGCUGCGGCAGGAGCUGGAGUCCUUUGGUGAUGUAAAGAGGUGGCUGGAGAACAAGCCCAGCAUCACGCCUUCAGAGGCCAAGGUCUUACACAUGAUCCACGAGGAGCAGAGUGCCCAGCCAAAUGCCUCCCAGGCAACUACCAGGACCACCAGGAAAAAAGCCCCCCGGCUCUCCCGCCAGAUGGUGCCCCAGCUCCAGCUGCCCAAGCCCCCUGCCCUGUCAGUCAUGUACUCCUACCUGCAUAGCCGCAAGAUCAAGAUCCUGGAGAUAUUUCACAAGGUGGGCCAGGGUGAGAACCAGAGAAUCACCAGGGAGAAGUUCAUCACGGCUGUAAAGGCAGUCGGAGUCCCUCUGAAGAACCAGGAGAUGGAGGAUAUAGUGAUCUACCUCAGCUCUCUUGGGAAGCACAACACCAUCACCAUGGACAUCCUGGCCAAUACCUACAAGCAGUGGUCUAUGGCUCAGCAAAGGAGCAGCCUGGCCACUGCAAGGAAGCGUUAUAUCUUGGUUAAGCACAGAGAUUCCCUGAAGGGUCCGCUCAAGAAGCAGGAGGUGGAUUCAGCCCCACAGCUUCCCAAAGUGGACCUGCUGACGGUGCCUGCAGUCGACAUACAGAUGGAGGCGCGGCCCAUGACCCUGGAGGAGAUGGAGGAAGUAGGCAAGCGGUACCGCGAGCGGCAGCGACAGCACAAGCUCAUGAUCCCCUCCAUCCAGUACACAGAGCAGUGCCGCCUGGUGCGCUGUGGGAAUCAGCACUUUGAUGAGCACUGCCUGCCAUCCACCAUCCACGGGGAUAUGAGGGAGCUCAUUGACUCGACCCGCAGGCACAACUUUCUCGUCUACCUGCAAUGCUGGAAGCUCUGUGAGUCCUAUGGCCUCCUGCUGACGGAGGACAUCCUCAUGAAAGCCUUGCUGUACCCAGGAGACAAGAUCAUUUUCCAGAUGGACAAAGUGCGCCCCAUCCGGCAGCCAGGACGCUACUACUCUGACUGGAAGGUCUUUUCUCCGAAUCUGGCUCUGCUCCGGUCCCAGGGCCCCAGCAAGUCUAAGAGGACUGACAAGCUGAGUUUCAGACCCUCUUUCUCCCUGCCUUGGCCUCCUGCCCCAUUGCUGGCCUUUCAGUGCAGGGGCUGGAGGCUGGCAUACCUGGGACGCCAUGCUGUGCUUGUGUCUGCAUCCUAGGGCAGCAUCCCCCAACCUGACUGCUCACUGCAGACUGACCAGUCCCGGGUCCCCCUUGGCAUGUGUCUCAGGAUCACGGCCUGCUGGCCUCAGCUCCCAUACAGCUACCCUCCUGACCCCAGUCCUGCACAAUCGCAAGGUUUCUGGAAAAGAUGAAAAAGAGAGCCUUCUUAGAGAACAUGGCUGGAGUGAGGGCCUUCACAAAUCCCCAGCCAGGUGUCAGGGCCCUGCAGAGAACAAGGGGCCACCCUUUCUCUGCCCUGCCCCCUUGCAGCGGACACACCCCUUCUCUGGCAAGAGGUGGGCUUGCAGCUCCUAGGAGGAGAAAGGAACGUUUCCCUGGGGCCCGCUCCCAGCCCUUUCGAGAGACCAACGUGAGUCUUCUCCAAGAAAACGGCCUCCUUUGGCACUCCAAAGCCUGAGCUACCCAGAUUUGAGUCAAGCAGCAGGUGACAGCCCAUGGGCAGCAUCAGUGGGUGACUGCAGAUGAACAAGGCAGCAUCUCCGCAGAGGGAGGGGCGCAGCAUGGGUGGAGGAGAGCCCAGCUGGCCCUGCACCUGGACCCCUGCCAGCUGCCCACUGGGUGUGUGGGCAGAAUGCCCGCAGUGGGACACAGCGGGGCCCUAUAGAGAUCAGACAGGCCUCCGGUUAAAUGGACAAGGCACUUCUCUGAGCCUCAGCAUCUUCAUGUGUAAAGGGGACUAGUAGCUCCUACCAUACACUAUGAGGAUCAGAUAAGAAAGAGCGUCAACAUCUUAGCAGUGACAGCACUCAAUCAAUGAUUGUCGUUGUUUUACCUUGCUCUGGUUGGGGCAUCUUCAAGUGCAGGAGUAGGCCCAGGCCUGCAGGUGGGUCCUGGCCAUGACAUGGGCUGUGACUUCCUUCCGGCCCCGGGUGGCCCAGGAAGUGGCUGGGAACCUAGGAAGGGGAUUUUGGUCCAUGCUUAGGUAGCCCAUAGCUAAUAAAGGAUAAAGAGAGUUCUCUUACCUCAAGGAGAGACAUUGACUGUAUCUUGCUUCUUAGGGUUAUGAAAGAUUCCGAAGUCAGAUGGAAGCUGGGUGGGAAAGAGUGUUGUGAACCAUUAGCGAUAUCUGUCAGGCUCAGGGUUGGAGGGGGAGGGGGUUAGAUUUCACCAUCUUCGUCCUCAGGGCUGGGUUAAGCUCCGGAGUGGGGAGUGGGAGCCAGGGACCCCAAAAGGACUCGGGAUUCGGCAGUGACUUACUGAGCCUUCCUCAUAACUACCCUGAGAGGUCUCUAUUCUGGACGAUGAGAAAACCAAGGAUAAGAAAGGGGACAUGACUUGCCCAGGUCACCUGGCUGGAUUCUGAGGCUAGGUCCGGCUGACCCAAGCCCACUGUGUUCCCCUGGAGCAUGGAGGCACAGAGUCAGGGUCCACCUCAGGUGGAAGACAUUUUUCUUUCAGAGCUCUGGUUUGAGACUUAGAAACGGGCCCACCCCUGCGGCCCCUGACCUACUCCCUAAAGCCCCAUUGGCUUGGAUUUCCACUCUCCUCACAAAAUGCCUCUCUCUCCUCCACUAGGAAACCACCAAAGAAAAGCAAGAAAAUGCACUUUAAGGAGUUUGAGGAAUUUACCAGGUCUGUGGCAAUCAUCUAACUCCACAAGGAAGGAAGGUGGGAGGAGGCGCAGCUUCACCUGAGACAACUGGGACUCUGCGCUCCUGGCAUAACAGCUGGGGCUCGGUGCCCUGGCCUGAGAGGCAAUAACACAACACAGAGAGGGCCAGGAGGCAUCGCUCCAGGGCUUUCCAUGUGUCCGCUCACUCAAAUCCUCCCAACAGCCCUAUGAAGUGACACUAAGCAUAUUCAUUUUACACAGGAGGAAACUGAGGCAACAGAAAGGGCAAAUAUCAUGCUCAGAGUCACACAUCUGUGAAGUGGUGGAGUGCAGAUCUGAACCCAGCUAGGGCGGCUCCAGGGGCCGUACUCCAAACAGCACAUUAAAAUGCCUCCAGAUAACAGAUGGUGGCACUUAAGACUUUGAGUUUUAGAGGCAUUGGACAGGGAGUGAAGCCUGCACUUGGCCACUUGCUCAGGGUGCAACGGCCUCUCCAGGCCUCUGGGUCCUCACAGGAAGCUGAAGGAGAGGAGGUCCAGUGGUCUGCAGCAAACGCACCCCAAUUCCUUCUGGCCGGGUCACCUUCUGGAUAAGCUGCAGCUCUACCUGCCC